GCACUGAUUAUAUAACGGCAUCUUACUGAAAUGGACAUCGGGAUCUGUUUCGGGUGGAAAAUCCCUCUCCCGCCAGCCUGCGCUCUGAUCCUCUGAUCACCGGCCCGCAGCCAUCUCACUGCCUGCCGGCGAGCCCGGCGGUCAGAGGCUGUGUCGUGGCCGUGGGUCCCCGGGUGGGGGUGGGGGUUACCUCAGUCCCUGCUCCUCCGUCUGAGAAGAGGGGAAAACUCUGCCUUCCCCAUCUGUUGUUUCCCCGCUUUUUGGCUGUCGGAAAGUGAAAUUAUGCAAGAGCUGUUGAAUCCACCGAGGAGGAGGACGAUGGGCUGAAUCCGUGGCCCAGAAGAUCAGCCCAGACACCACUGCAACCACCACCCAGACACCGGGGCCAACACAGCGCAGACACCACUGCAACCACUGCACAGACAGUGCAGACAGAGCACAGACACCGCUGCCACUGCUGAGCAGACAUAGCGCAGACGCGACCGCGGAGACCACACAGAUAUCACUGCCACCCACUGUGCAGGCACUGCAAGGAGGCCACGGCCACCACUGUUGAGGCACCGGUGCCGACACUGCACAGACACCACUGCCACCACUGAGUAGACACUGGUGGAGGAACAGCACAGCACCACUACCACUGUUGCACAGACACCGGUGCAGGUUCAGCCACAUGGACCAGAGCAAACGCUGAUGAACAACGGCACGGACUUCAUCACAGGCAUCAGCGCAGAUUCUGCAGCAGACAGCAGGGAUCCACCCUCUGCCACGGUGCCCGCCACUCCUCCCCUAGGCUGUUCUCUCCAGGAGGCACGUAGAGCCGGCAGGAAGAGGGCUUAGAACAGUGCUUUGCACAUAAUGUGGGAACUGAGGCCCAGAGAAGUUAAGUGACUUGCCCAAAGUCACACAGCUGACAGUUGGUAGAGCCGGGAUUUCAGCCCUGCUACUCAUCACCCUGGCACAAACUCAUGGACGGAUCCUUUCAGCCUCAGACCUGUGGUGUGGUUACUUCUGAAUGUGGCAGAUGCCCGAGCCAGCCACCCAAGGGCAGGAUGAGGUCAUCUGAGGGGGCCGGACCCCAACUGGCUCCAUGUGACCGGAAUUGAGGAUGCGGAUGGUCACCAUGGAGACAGAACCUUGUUCUUGUGGCUGUCCGAGGGCUGGGAGGUUCUGGACCAGGCCCAACUUCGGCAAGGGUCAGGAGGGCGUCAACCUUCCAGCUGACCCUGCUGGCCACAUGCCCCUCUGAAAGAUGGAGCUGGACCCAGAUGGGGGUGGAACUGAUGUGAAACCAAAACCGUCAACUCAGAAACCCGGACAGCAAUGUCGGCUGUCACUGGAGGUUGGGGGUGCGUGGUGGGUACGCGCGUGUCUGGGUGGGUGUGUGCGCGAGUGUGUGACUUUGAGUGUCUGCUUCCUUUGCUUCCCUGGACUCUGUCCUCUCAUGGGCCACGAGCUUCUUGGCAAAAAACUGUUCAGCCUGGUUCUGACUUCUCCUGCUCCCUAGGCAUUUGGCUGGCAGGUGCGGGUUCCACACCCUACAACCCACAGCCCCCCCCUCUGCCCCCAUGCCCCCUGCCCUGCCCCAACCCUCUGUCCUGCAGCCCCCACCCCAUGGCACUGAACCGUGGCUGUCUGUGGCUGGGGCCCAUCUGGACACAGAGGAGAAAAAGAUGGUUAGUGUACAUGGCGAGGUGGAGGGCACUGUACAGAGUGCCUCUGGGCUGGAGGGCACCGUACUGAGAACCCAGGCCUCCUUACAUUGAACUCAGCCAAUUGGCUGGCCCCCACGUAACAGGGGAACCACAAAUACUGCAAGCCAACCAAUGAGUCCAGCUAGCCUGAGGGGGGUAUGGGGCGGGGUUGGCUAGCCCCUUCCAUCCAAGGGUGGGUCUUUGGCUCACCCCUCCCCUGUGUGGGUGGGGUUUUACUCCCCCCCUCCCCCCCCACCUCGUGGAUGGGUUCUCCCCAUAGAGGGGCCAGACUGGGACCUCUCCUCUCCCGCCGAGCCCAGUGGGACCCUUCUCGCUUUGUCCUUUGGGAGGUCCCAGCUCUGAGCUCCAAUCCCUUCCUGUCCUGGCAGCGAGCAGGUGAGUAAGAGUCUCCGACUAUAGCUACAUUGAGACCCACUCCUGUUGCCCUUGUACCCCCAGUGCCGCUGCUCACUCCCACCAGGGUGGCAACGGGGUGCUGGGAAUGGCCGUUGCUUGCACGUUGACAUUUCAUGGAGGGGGGGCUGAACCCCGCACCCUAAAAAUAUCAACUGCAUUAGUCUCAAAAUAAUUAAUGGCAGGCAUUAUGCAAAUGACAACUUUUUCACUGCAAAAUAAUGACAUUUCUUCAUUUUGAGCAGAAUAAUGCAAAACAAUGAAUUUGGAGCGAUAAAUCACCCAGGAGCAGGAAGGGAGCCAUAAAGCUCCCAGGCGGGCAGGCAGAGAGGUAGGCAGGUAGAUAGCUCGAUAACUCAGAAGACGCAGUGUGAUCUCACACCACUGUGGAGAGUUCAAGAGUCCCCACCAGCAGGCCACUAGG